rnacentral:tRNA from 1 species
AGUGUGGCUCAAUGGUAGAGUGCUUGCCUAGCAAACUUAAGACUCUGGGUUCCAUUCCCAGCACU